rnacentral:lncRNA from 1 species
GGUUUUUAAUAUAUUUGUAAAAAGUAAAUACCAUAAUUGAACACAUUUAUGUGCACAUACAUGUAUAUAUACGCAUGCAUAUAUAUACACACAUGUGCAACUGCUUAAGUAUAAUUUUGUGUUUUUAGGAAAACAAUUUAUUAUUUUUUGGAAAAAAUACAUUUUUCUAUACAAAAAAAAAAAAGUAAGGCAAAUAAAUAUGCAAACAAGUGAACAUACAAACAAGUGAACAUAUGAGCAUAAAAAAAAUAAAAAAGUAGAAUGUUCAACAUAUAUAAUUCCAUAAACGUUCUAACACGAAAUGUUUUCAUUAUGAUUACAUUUUUUUUUUUUUUUUUUUUUUUUUUUAGAAAAUAAAAAAAGAAAAGAUACUUACAAUCAUAAAAGUAGUGUAUUAAAAUAUGAAAACAAAUUUAUUGAUGAAAAAGAAAAUACAAAUAAUUUCAUUGGGGACAAUCUUAAUUAUAAAGUUGUUAAAUACAUGAAUUUUGUUAAAGAAGAAAAUAUUCUCGUAAAAAAAAAAAAAAAAAAAAUUUUUUUACUUAUCAUUUUACCAUAGUCUUUAUGAAUAUAUAAGUUCAAUAGUGGCUUAUCCUUUAUUAAAUAUUUCAACAAAAUUGAUUAUUUUUCAAGAUAAUACGAAAUCACUAUUUUACAGUAAACAUUAAUACAUUUUAAAAUGAAUAAAUAAAUGAUAAAUAAAUAAAUGAUGAAUAAAUAAUUAUGUAAAUAAAUUGAACUUAUUUGCAUUUUAACAAUAAGGCACAAAUAAUACCAUUUGUUUUUCUCCUACUAAUACAUAUAUAUGUAUAUAUAUAUAUAUAUGUACAUGUACAUGCACAUGUACAUUUGUAUAUAUGAUGUUUCUUAUUUUACCCUUAUUUACAGACUUAAAAAAUAUAACCCAACUGACAUAUAAGAUUGACGGAGUUAGCGGCUUUUUUAAAGGGUUGAAUAAUUAUCUAAUAAUACAAUCAUUGGAUAAAGUAUUAAAUUGUUUUUUAUAUAAAUUAUUCUCAUCUAACUAUUCUUACAAUAAAGUUAUUACAAUUAAAGUAGUUUUAACAACGUGUUUAAAUACUAUCAUAGCUCCUUACAUUCAAUAUUCAAUGCUAAAUAGGUCACAAUCUCAAGUAUUGGGUUUAUGUAAGGAUACAAGCUUUAAUGAAUUUUUUAGUAAUUACCCAUGGAAAAGUCAUGUGUCUAAUGUAACCUUUUGUUUAGCAGUAACUGCAGUUCAGCUAAUGGUAAUAAUAAAAAAAGAGAAAAACACAAAUACACAAGAAACACAAAUAUAUAUAUUUAUGUAUAAGUUUAUAUAUACAUUGUAAAAUUCUCGUGAGUACAUAUCACCAACAUUUUCAUUUUCUAUAGAUUUUCGCAUUGAUACCGAAAGACACAACUAAAAAUGACGAUGUUAUUAAUGAAGAACGUGACGAAUAACUUUUAAUGAAUGUCCUUUUUUUCUUUUUUUUCAUUUAUAUUUAUUAAACUUUUUUAAAAGAAAAACAAUUUAUUAAAAAAAAAAAAAAAAAAUUUUAAAUAUUCUUACCUUGUUAACAUGUUUUAAUAAGUUGUUUAUACAUUAUGUGUAAAAAUGAAAAUUCUAUGUUUUAUACUCAACAAAAUAAACACAGUUUAAUUAUAUUUUUUGAUGAAUAU